AUGUCGCUCUCCAGCCUUCCGGGGGUGAUCCUGGCUUCACUGUGGCUGGGAUCUGCUAUUGCCCAGAAGGUAACUCAAGCCCAGCCAGCAAUAUUGGCACAGGAGAAGGAAGCCGUGACCCUGCACUGUACGUAUGACACCAGUUCUGGAAGUUACAGUCUCCUGUGGUACAAGCAGCUCAACACGGGGGAGAUGAUCUUCCUUAUUCGUCAGGACUCUUACAGCCAGCAAAAUGCAAGCCAAGGUCGCUACUCAUUGAAUUUCCAGAAGGCAGGGAAAUCCAUCAACCUUGUCAUCUCUGUUUUACAAUUGGAAGACUCAGCAGUGUACUUCUGCACACUGAGAGAUGACACUGUGAGAGGACUCGUGUAG